GGGACACACGAACCAAGGCAUGGCCUUUUCUUACAAUUUAAAAAAUUGAGAUGCAGUUCAUAUAAAAUUCAUCAUUUUAUUAUACAAUGUAGUGUUUUUUAGUACAUUGACCGUGUUGUGCAACCCUUACCCCAAAAAGAAACCCCGUCCCCACCGCAGUCACUCCUCUCCCUCUCUCCAGCCCCCGGCAGCCACGGAUCUGCGUUCUGUGUCCGUGGAUCUGUUCAUAUGAGUGGAAUUUCACAAUAUGUGGCGACCCUUUGUGACUGGCUUCGUUCAGCCUCAUGUUUUCAAGGCUCAUCCACGUUGUGGCCCCUGUUGGUGCCUCGUUCCUUUUUACAGCCGAGCCAUGUGCUGCUGCGUGGAGAUGCCACAUGUGUGUCUUUUCAUCCGCUCACAAACCAGGCUUGGCUUUUGUGACUUGGCCAAGUUCCCAAAGCCAGCCGGUGGCAGCACUGGGACGAGACCCCACAGGCGGUGGGCCUCUGAGCAGGGGGCCACCUGCCGGCCACCCUGGCCUUUGAGGACAUAGCCUGGCGGGGGCGGUGCAGGCAAAGGCUUCCUUGAAGCCUUCUGGUCUGACCUGUGGCUGGGAUAAGUGAGUAGGCCUGACGGGCUGGCCUCCUUCCUGGAGGGAGUGGCAACACCACCACAGUGCCCUCAGCUCGUGUUUCUGGGCCUGCAGCCCCCACGGGCUAUGGGGGCUUCUGCUUACUGCGCCCCCCUGUCCCACAGCAUCCGCAGUGUCAUGCAGAAGUACCUGGAGGACCGGGGCGAAGUGACCUUUGAGAAGAUCUUUUCCCAGAAGCUGGGGUACCUGCUCUUCCGAGACUUCUGCCUGAACCACCUGGAGGAGGCCAGGCCCUUAGUGGAAUUCUAUGAGGAGAUCAAGAAGUACGAGAAGCUGGAGACGGAGGAGGAGCGUGUGGCCCGCAGCCGGGAGAUCUUCGACUCAUACAUCAUGAAGGAGCUGCUGGCCUGCUCGCAUCCCUUCUCGAAGAGUGCCACUGAGCAUGUCCAAGGCCACCUGGGGAAGAAGCAGGUGCCUCCGGAUCUCUUCCAGCCAUACAUCGAAGAGAUUUGUCAAAACCUCCGAGGGGACGUGUUCCAGAAAUUCAUCGAGAGCGAUAAGUUCACACGGUUUUGCCAGUGGAAGAAUGUGGAGCUCAACAUCCACGUGAGUGGGCUUGGGUGGGGCAUGGAAAGCCAUGCACCCUGCUGCUCCUCUCCCGGGAGCUGGGCCUGUGGCUUGGCUGGGAGGGGGAGGUCAGGGGAUGUCUGUCCUUUAGCCCCCAGGGCCGUGGCUAUGGGGGUCAGGGCCGGGAUCCCAGCAUGGGGAGGCCGGAGCAGGUAAAUAUGUGGCAAGGAUGGCCAGGACAUGGGUAUGGGGACCCUGGCAUGGGGCCAGCCCCUGCUGCCCAGGUGCCUCUGCCCCAGGGCUGGGCAGAGGCAGCCUGUGGUGACCGCAGCUGUCGCUGCCCCUCAGCUGACCAUGAAUGACUUCAGCGUGCAUCGCAUCAUUGGGCGCGGGGGCUUUGGCGAGGUCUAUGGGUGCCGGAAGGCCGACACAGGCAAGAUGUAUGCCAUGAAGUGCCUGGACAAAAAGCGCAUCAAGAUGAAGCAGGGGGAGACCCUGGCCCUGAACGAGCGCAUCAUGCUCUCACUCGUCAGCACUGGGGACUGCCCAUUCAUUGUCUGCAUGUCAUACGCGUUCCACACGCCAGACAAGCUCAGCUUCAUCCUGGACCUCAUGAACGGUGGGGACCUGCACUACCACCUCUCCCAGCACGGGGUCUUCUCAGAGGCUGACAUGCGCUUCUAUGCGGCCGAGAUCAUCCUGGGCCUGGAGCACAUGCACAACCGCUUCGUGGUCUACCGGGACCUGAAGGUGAGCGCCCCUGCUGUCCCCAGGCUGGACCUCCGUGGCUGUCCUCUCCUUCCUCUCGACAUCCUGGCCACCAGACCCAGAGGAGUGGGGCUCCUGGGACAUGGCCGCCCCGUAUCUUCCCAUCUCCGCCCCUGCCCUUCCCACCAAGCCACUCUGGGUCCAGGUUGUAGCUGGGGACAGGAGAGAGGACCCCACCUUUGCCCUUUCUUUGGGUACCCAUCGUCCUCUCCAGUGAAGCAGUGACCCAGCUGGCAUCUUGCCUGGCUGGGCCCCAUCCUGAGCUGCCCCAGGCAGCUCACUGGGCUUCCUUCACAGCCAGCCAACAUCCUUCUGGACGAGCAUGGCCACGUGCGGAUCUCGGACCUGGGCCUGGCCUGUGACUUCUCCAAGAAGAAGCCCCAUGCCAGCGUGUGAGUGCCCCCCACCCUCUCCCUCCCCACCCCUUGCCACUCCCGCUUAUGGCCCCCUUGCUCCUACAGGGGCACCCACGGGUACAUGGCUCCGGAGGUCCUGCAGAAGGGCGUGGCCUACGACAGCAGUGCCGACUGGUUCUCUCUGGGGUGCAUGCUCUUCAAGUUGCUGCGGGGGCACAGCCCCUUCCGGCAGCACAAGACCAAAGACAAGCAUGAGAUCGACCGCAUGACGCUGACGAUGGCCGUGGAGCUGCCCGACUCCUUCUCCCCUGAACUACGCUCCCUGCUGGAGGGGUUGCUGCAGAGGGAUGUCAACCGGAGAUUGGGCUGCCUGGGCCGAGGGGCUCAGGAGGUGAAAGAGAGCCCCUUUUUCCGCUCCCUGGACUGGCAGAUGGUCUUCUUGCAGAAGGUAACAGUCUGUGGCAGGGACUGGGGGUGCUCUGCAGCCCCACCCCCGAGCUAAUGCCCAUGACCCCUGUUCUGCUGCAGUACCCUCCCCCGCUGAUCCCCCCACGAGGGGAGGUGAACGCGGCCGACGCCUUCGACAUUGGCUCCUUCGAUGAGGAGGACACAAAAGGAAUCAAGUUACUGGACAGUGAUCAGGAGCUCUACCGCAACUUCCCCCUCACCAUCUCGGAGCGGUGGCAGCAGGAGGUGGCAGAGACUGUCUUCGACACCAUCAACGCUGAGACAGACCGGCUGGAGGCUCGCAAGAAAGCCAAGAACAAGCAGCUGGGCCAUGAGGAAGACUACGCCCUGGGCAAGGACUGCAUCAUGCAUGGCUACAUGUCCAAGAUGGGCAACCCCUUCCUGACCCAGUGGCAGCGGCGGUACUUCUACCUGUUCCCCAACCGCCUCGAGUGGCGGGGCGAGGGCGAGGCCCCGCAGAGCCUGCUGACCAUGGAGGAGAUCCAGUCGGUGGAGGAGACGCAGAUCAAGGAGCGCAAGUGCCUGCUCCUCAAGAUCCGCGGUGGGAAACAGUUCAUUUUGCAGUGCGAUAGCGACCCUGAGCUGGUGCAGUGGAAGAAGGAGCUGCGUGACGCCUACCGUGAGGCCCAGCAGCUGGUGCAGCGGGUGCCCAAGAUGAAGAACAAGCCGCGCUCGCCCGUGGUGGAGCUGAGCAAGGUGCCGCUGGUCCAGCGCGGCAGUGCCAACGGCCUCUGACCCGCCCACCCGCCUUUUAUAAACCUCUAAUUUAUUUUGUCGAAUUUUUAUUAUUUGUUUUCCCGCCAAGCGGAAAAGGUUUUAUUUUGUAAUUAUUGUGAUUUCCUGUGGCCCCAGCCUGGCCCAGCUCCCCCGGGAGGGGCCCGCUUGCCUCGGCUCCUGCUGCACCAACCCAGCCGCUGCCCGGCGCCCUCUGUCCUGACUCCAGGGGCUGCCCGCUCCCAGUGUCUUCCUGUGGGGGAAGAGCACAGCCCUCCCGCCCCUUCCCCGAGGGAUGAUGCCACACCAAGCUGUGCCACCCUGGGCUCUGUGGGCUGCACUCUGUGCCCAUGGGCACUGCUGGGUGGCCCAUCCUCCCUCACCAGGGGCAGGCACAGCACAGGGAUCCGACUUGAAUUUUCCCACUGCACCCCCUCCUGCUGCAGAGGGGCAGGCCCUGCACUGUCCUGCCCCACAGUGUUGGCGAGAGGAGGGGCCUGUUGUCUCCCUGGCCCUCAAGGCCUCCCACAGUGACUCGGGCUCCUGUGCCCUUAUUCAGGAAAAGCCUCUGUGUCACUGGCUGCCUCCACUCCCACUUCCCUGACACUGCGGGGCUUGGCUGAGAGAGUGGCAUUGGCAGCAGGUGCUGCUACCCUCCCUGCAGUCCCCUCUUGCCCCAACCCCCAGCACCCGGGCUCAGGGACCACAGCAAGGCACCUGCAGGUUGGGCCAUACUGACCUCGCCUGGCCUGAGGUCUCGCCGAUGCUGGGCUGGGUGCGACCCCAUCUGCCCAGGACGGGGCCGGCCAGGUGGGCGGGCAGCACAGCAAGGAGGCUGGCUGGGGUCUAUCAGUGUGCCCCCCAUCCCGGCCCAUCAGUGUACCCCCGCCCAGGCUGGCCAGCCCCACAGCCCACGUCCUGUCAGUGCCGCCGCCUCGCCCACCGCAUGCCCCCUCGUGCCAGUCGCGCUGCCUGUGUGGUGUCGCGCCUUUUCCCCCCUGGGGCUGGGUUGGCGCACCCUCCCCUCCUGUCUACUCAUUCCCUGGGGCAUUUCUUUGCCGAUUUUUGAAUGUGAUUUUAAAGAGUGAAAAAUGAGACUAUGCGUUUUUAUAAAAAAUGGUGCCUG
rnacentral:sRNA from 1 species